AGCUCAUGUAUUAUCCUUUAAAUUAACAUAAAAUUCAUCUAUUAAAAUGAGAAUUAAAGUUUUAACAAUAUCUUUUAAUUAAAGUAUUAAUUAAACUAGCUAAUAUUAGUGCCAGAGGCUUCGGUUAUACUAGUAGACAUAAAUGGAUACACUUUAUUAUAAUUAAACAGUAAAUAUAUAAAAAUUUUAUGAGUAUAAAACAUAUUAAUAAACCAUAUCCUGUUUUAUUAUUAAAAUAUGAUAAAUAACUUGGAUUUGGUACCCAAUUAAUCUUAAUUAAAAUUAAUAGAGUAGUACAAUAGAAUUGAAACCCGAAUGAGUUGGCAGACUUAAAAUAUAUUUGGGAAUUUUGAAAUUAAAUGAUAAUCCACCAUAUUAGCUUCAGUUUAAUUUCUAGUAUAGCCGAAAUGUGUAAUAUAAUAAUUUUCUUACUUAAAAAUUAGUUUUAUUUUCAGGUCUUUAUAAGGAAUACUUAAAGCAUUUAUUGAAAUUUAUUUAUUAAUUAUAAGCUUUCUAAUUUAUGAUUUGAAAGUAAAACUAAAUAGUAAAAACUAUUAAUUAAAAAAGUUUUGAAUACAUAUUUUUUAGUAGUACAUAUCGCCCGUCACCUGAAUGUCAUAGUUGAGUAAGUCGUAGCAUAGUAGAGGUAUCGGAAGAUGCUUCUUAAUAAAU
rnacentral:rRNA from 1 species